AGUCCUGUAGCUUAGUGGUUAGAGCGCUCACCUCAUAAGCGAGGGGGCCUGGGUUUGAUUCCCAGUCAGGACGA